UACGUAGGUGGCAAGCGUUGUCCGGAUUUAUUGGGUUUAAAGGGUGCGUAGGCGGUCUUUUAAGUCAGUGCUGAAAUACUCCAGCUUAACUGGAGGGGUGGCAUUGAUACUGGGAGACUUGAGUGUAGUCGAGGUAGGCGGAAUUGACGGUGUAGCGGUGAAAUGCUUAGAUAUCGUCAAGAACACCGAUAGUGAAGACAGCUUACUAGGCUACAACUGACGCUGAGGCACGAAAGUGUGGGGAUCAAACAGG
rnacentral:rRNA from 1 species